rnacentral:rRNA from 1 species
UACAGAGGUCUCAAGCGUUGUUCGGAUUCAUUGGGCGUAAAGGGUGCGUAGGCGGCGCGGUAAGUCGGGUGUGAAAGCUCGGGGCUUAACUCCGAAACUGCAUUCGAUACUGCCGUGCUUGAGGACUGGAGAGGAGACUGGAAUUUACGGUGUAGCGGUGAAAUGCGUAGAUAUCGUAAGGAAGACCAGUGGCGAAGGCGGGUCUCUGGACAGUUCCUGACGCUGAGGCACGAAGGCCAGGGGAGCAAACGGG